UACAGAGGGUGCUAGCGUUGUUCGGAAUCAUUGGGCGUAAAGGGCGUGUAGGCGGUUUGUUAAGUCAUGUGUGAAAGCCCCCGGCUUAACCGGGGAGGGUCGUUGGGGACGGCGGGGCUUGAGGGCGGGAGAGGGCGGUGGAAUUCCCGGUGUAGUGGUGAAAUGCGUAGAGAUCGGGAGGAACACCUGUGGCGAAGGCGGCCGUCUGGGCCGACCCUGACGCUGAGGCGCGAAGGCGUGGGGAGCGAACGGG
rnacentral:rRNA from 1 species